rnacentral:rRNA from 1 species
AGAGUAUGAUCCUGGCUCAGAACGAACGCUGGCGGCAUGCCUUAUACAUGCAAGUCGAACGAGAAAGUCACUUCGGUGGCGAGUACAGUGGCGCACGGGUGAGUAACGCGUAGAUGAUCUACCCUUCAGUCUGGGACAACUCUUGGAAACGGGAGCUAAUACCGGAUAAAACCUUCGGGUUGAAAGAUUUAUUGCUGGGGGAUGAGUCUGCGUACCAUUAGCUUGUUGGUGGGGUAACGGCCUACCAAGGCGACGAUGGUUAGCGGGUCUGAGAGGACGAUCCGCCACACUGGAACUGAGACACGGUCCAGACUCCUACGGGAGGCAGCAGUAGGGAAUAUUGCGCAAUGGGGGCAACCCUGACGCAGCAAUGCCGCGUGAGUGAAGAAGGCCUUCGGGUCGUAAAGUUCUUUUAUGGGGGAAGAUGAUGACGGUACCCCAUGAAUAAGCACCGGCUAACUACGUGCCAGCAGCCGCGGUAAUACGUAGGGUGCGAGCGUUGUUCGGAAUUACUGGGCGUAAAGGGCGUGCAGGCGGAUUGGCAAGCCGGAGGUGAAAGCCCGGGGCUCAACCCCGGAGGGUCUUUCGGAACUGCCAGUC